GUCGAGCGUGAACCCUUAGAAUGAAACUUCGGUCGAAUGAAGAGGGGGAAAGCGGCGGACGGGUGAGUAACGCGUAGGCAACCUGCCCCGUACAGAGGGAUAGCCUCGGGAAACCGGGAUUAAAACCUCAUAAUACCAUGGUAUCACAUGAUGCAAUGGUCAAAGAUUUAUCGGUAUGGGAUGGGCCUGCGUCUGAUUAGCUGGUUGGUGGGGUAACGGCCUACCAAGGCAACGAUCAGUAGCCGACCUGAGAGGGUAAUCGGCCACAUUGGAACUGAGACACGGUCCAAACUCCUACGGGAGGCAGCAGUGGGGAAUAUUGCACAAUGGGCGAAAGCCUGAUGCAGCAACGCCGCGUGAGCGAAGAAGGCCUUUGGGUCGUAAAGCUCUGUCGGGAAGGAAGAUAAUGACGGUACUUCCCGAGGAAGCCCCGGCUAACUACGUGCCAGCAGCCGCGGUAAUACGUAGGGGGCGAGCGUUAUCCGGAAUUAUUGGGCGUAAAGAGUGCGUAGGUGGUUGUUUAAGCGUGGGGUGAAAGGCAAUGGCUUAACCAUUGUGAGCCUCGCGAACUGGGCGACUUGAGUGCAGGAGAGGAAAGCGGAAUUCCUAGUGUAGCGGUGAAAUGCGUAGAUAUUAGGAGGAACACCAGUGGCGAA
rnacentral:rRNA from 1 species